UACGGAGGGUGCAAGCGUUGUUCGGAAUUACUGGGCGUAAAGGGCGCGUAGGCGGCCCUCUAAGUCAGACGUGAAAUCCCUCGGCUCAACCGGGGAACUGCGUCUGAGACUGGAAGGCUUGAAUUCGGGAGAGGGAUGUGGAAUUCCAGGUGUAGCGGUGAAAUGCGUAGAUAUCUGGAGGAACACCGGUGGCGAAGGCGGCAUCCUGGACCGAUAUUGACGCUGAUGCGCGAAAGCCAGGGGAGCAAACGGG
rnacentral:rRNA from 1 species